GAGGAUUAUACUGUCUCCCCCCCUAAAUCAAUGAAACUGAUCCCCCCGUGAAGAAGCGGGGAUAAAUAUAUAAGACGAGAAGACCCUAUGGAGCUUUAAACUCAACACCACCUACCUCAACCAACUCCCUCACAAACAGGUAGAGAUCGUGUAUGUUUUCAGUUGGGGUGACUGCGGAGCAAAAUAAAACCUCCACGAUGAAAAAUAACCUCUAAUCCAAGAAUAACAUUUCAAAGAAUCAACAAAUUGACAUCAAUUGACCCAAAUAAUAAUUUGAUCAACGAACCAAGUUACCCUAGGGAUAACAGCGCAAUCCAUUUCAAGAGCUCAUAUCGACAAAUG
rnacentral:rRNA from 1 species